rnacentral:lncRNA from 1 species
UCUUGAGCAAAAACAAUUUUCAUCCCAACAAGAUUGAACUUUAUGUAUAACUUCUCCCACUCUUAGAAGAGCCAAAAAAUCUUCCACCUUCUUAUUUCUUACCUCUAAUGAUUCAAUUUUAAACUUCUAUAGAAAUGCUAGACUCAUCUUCAUCAUCUGAAUUGCUGGAUUCAGACUCUUGGGUAAAAAAAUUUUUCAUCUUAACAAGAUUAAACUUUUUGUAUAACUUCUCCCACU